rnacentral:rRNA from 1 species
AGCAAAUAGAUACCCAGGUAGUCCAUGCCGUAAACGUUGGGAACUAGGUGUGGGUCUCAUUCCACGAGAUCCGUGCCGCAGCUAACGCAUUAAGUUCCCCGCCUGGGGAGUACGGCCGCAAGGCUAAAACUCAAAGGAAUUGACGGGGGCCCGCACAAGCGGCGGAGCAUGCGGAUUAAUUCGAUGCAACGCGAAGAACCUUACCAAGGCUUGACAUACACCGGAAUCACUCAGAGACGGGUGCGUCUUCGGACUGGUGUACAGGUGGUGCAUGGUUGUCGUCAGCUCGUGUCGUGAGAUGUUGGGUUAAGUCCCGCAACGAGCGCAACCCUCGUUCUAUGUUGCCAGCACGUCAUGGUGGGGACUCAUAGGAGACUGCCGGGGUCAACUCGGAGGAAGGUGGGGAUGACGUCAAAUCAUCAUGCCCCUUAUGUCUUGGGCUUCACGCAUGCUACAAUGGCCGGUACAAAGGGCUGCGAAACCGCGAGGUGGAGCGAAUCCCAAAAAACCGGUCUCAGUUCGGAUUGGGGUCUGC